AACGAACGCUGGCGGCAUGCCUAACACAUGCAAGUCGAACGAAGGCUUCGGCCUUAGUGGCGCACGGGUGCGUAACGCGUGGGAAUCUGCCCCUCGGUUCGGAAUAACAGUUAGAAAUGACUGCUAAUACCGGAUGAUGACGAAAGUCCAAAGAUUUAUCGCCGAGGGAUGAGCCCGCGUAGGAUUAGCUAGUUGGUGGGGUAAAGGCCUACCAAGGCGACGAUCCUUAGCUGGUCUGAGAGGAUGAUCAGCCACACUGGGACUGAGACACGGCCCAGACUCCUACGGGAGGCAGCAGUGGGGAAUAUUGGACAAUGGGCGAAAGCCUGAUCCAGCAAUGCCGCGUGAGUGAUGAAGGCCUUAGGGUUGUAAAGCUCUUUUACCAGGGAUGAUAAUGACAGUACCUGGAGAAUAAGCUCCGGCUAACUCCGUGCCAGCCGCCGCCGUAAGAC
rnacentral:rRNA from 1 species